GACGAACGCUGGCGGCGUGCUUAACACAUGCAAGUCGAACGGAAAGGCCCUGCUUUUGUGGGGUGCUCGAGUGGCGAACGGGUGAGUAACACGUGAGUAACCUGCCCUUGACUUUGGGAUAACUUCAGGAAACUGGGGCUAAUACCGGAUAGGAGCUCCUGCUGCAUGGUGGGGGUUGGAAAGUUUCGGCGGUUGGGGAUGGACUCGCGGCUUAUCAGCUUGUUGGUGGGGUAGUGGCUUACCAUGGCUUUGACGGGUAGCCGGCCUGGGAGGGUGACCGGCCACAUUGGGACUGAGAUACGGCCCAGACUCCUACGGGAGGCAGCAGUGGGGAAUAUUGCACAAUGGGCGGAAGCCUGAUGCAGCAACGCCGCGUGCGGGAUGACGGCCUUCGGGUUGUAAACCGCUUUCGCCUGUGACAAAGCGUGAGUGACGGUAAUGGGUAAAGAAGCACCGGCUAACUACGUG
rnacentral:rRNA from 1 species